rnacentral:rRNA from 1 species
CCUACGGGAGGCUGCAGUGGGGAAUAUUGGACAAUGGGCGAAAGCCUGAUCCAGCCAUGCCGCGUGUGUGAAGAAGGCCUUCGGGUUGUAAAGCACUUUCAGUGGGGAAGAAAGCCUUGGGGCUAAUACCCUCGAGGUAGGACAUCACCCACAGAAGAAGCACCGGCUAACUCCGUGCCAGCAGCCGCGGUAAUACGGAGGGUGCGAGCGUUAAUCGGAAUUACUGGGCGUAAAGCGCGCGUAGGCGGUCUGAUAAGCCGGUUGUGAAAGCCCCGGGCUCAACCUGGGAACGGCAUCCGGAACUGUCAGGCUAGAGUGCAGGAGAGGAAGGUAGAAUUCCCGGUGUAGCGGUGAAAUGCGUAGAGAUCGGGAGGAAUACCAGUGGCGAAGGCGGCCUUCUGGACUGACACUGACGCUGAGGUGCGAAAGCGUGGGUAGCAAACAGGAUUAGAUACCCUUGUAGUC